rfam:Clostridium sp. CAG:167 genomic scaffold, scf314
CUAAGGAGGAACCGCUAUGCGCAAAGCGCAUAAUUGAAAAUCGGUUCUGACGACCUGCCGCCGAGCGUGGGCGGGGGGGCGAUACAGAUU